UACGAAGGGGGCUAGCGUUGCUCGGAAUCACUGGGCGUAAAGGGUGCGUAGGCGGGUCUUUAAGUCAGGGGUGAAAUCCUGGAGCUCAACUCCAGAACUGCCUUUGAUACUGAAGAUCUUGAGUUCGGGAGAGGUGAGUGGAACUGCGAGUGUAGAGGUGAAAUUCGUAGAUAUUCGGAAGAACACCAGUGGCGAAGGCGGC
rnacentral:rRNA from 1 species